GCCAGCAUAUCCCUUGCUCGGGAGCAGAUCUCUAGAUGUUAAUCCUUACAUCUCUGAAAAUGAGCUUGAAACUUCUGUUAAACAUGAAGUUGGUGUCACGUAUAAUUCUGGAAACAUGCAAUGUAAUCUCUUGGUUCCAGCCAUAAAUAAUAUGGGAAAAGAGGACUGCUUGUUUUCAAAUCCUGCAAAGUUUGAUCUUGAUUUUUAUGCUUGUUCUAAAGAGGAUUUGGGCUGUAUAGGGGGACUUGAUCCGUG
rnacentral:misc_RNA from 1 species